CCUACGGGCGGCAGCAGUGGGGAAUAUUGGACAAUGGGGGCAACCCUGAUCCAGCCAUGCCGCGUGUGUGAAGAAUGCCCUCGGGUUGUAAAGCACUUUCAGUGAGGAAGAACGCCUGGUGGUUAAUACCCAUCAGGAAAGACAUCACUCACAGAAGAAGCACCGGCUAACUCCGUGCCAGCAGCCGCGGUAAUACGGAGGGUGCGAGCGUUAAUCGGAAUUACUGGGCGUAAAGCGCGCGUAGGUGGCUUGAUAAGCCGGUUGUGAAAGCCCCGGGCUCAACCUGGGAACGGCAUCCGGAACUGUCAAGCUAGAGUGCAGGAGAGGAAGGUAGAAUUCCCGGUGUAGCGGUGAAAUGCGUAGAGAUCGGGAGGAAUACCAGUGGCGAAGGCGGCCUUCUGGACUGACACUGACACUGAGGUGCGAAAGCGUGGGUAGCAAACAGGAUUAGAUACCCCUGUAGUC
rnacentral:rRNA from 1 species